rnacentral:rRNA from 1 species
ACUGAAUAGAUACCCUGGUGGUCCACGCCGUAAACGAUGAAUGCUAGCCGUUGGGCAGCUUGCUGUUCAGUGGCGCAGCUAACGCAUUAAGCAUUCCGCCUGGGGAGUACGGCCGCAGGGUUGAAACUCAAAGGAAUUGACGGGGGCCCGCACAAGCGGUGGAGCAUGUGGUUUAAUUCGACGCAACGCGCAGAACCUUACCAGGGUUUGACAUCCUGCGACCGCCUCCUAAUAGAGGUUUUCCCGCAAGGGACGCAGAGACAGGUGCUGCAUGGCUGUCGUCAGCUCGUGUCGUGAGAUGUUGGGUUAAGUCCCGCAACGAGCGCAACCCUCGCCUUUAGUUGCCAUCAUUCAGUUGGGCACUCUAGAGGGACCGCCGGCGACAAGCCGGAGGAAGGUGGGGAUGACGUCAAGUCCUCAUGGCCCUUACACCCUGGGCUACACACGUGCUACAAUGGCGGUGACAGUGGGCAGCUACUUCGCGAGAAGCGGCUAAUCCCAAAAAACCGU